UACAGAGGUCCCAAGCGUUGUUCGGAUUCACUGGGCGUAAAGGGUGCGUAGGUGGUGAGGUAAGUCGGAUGUGAAAGCUCGGAGCUCAACUCCGAAAUGGCAUUGGAAACUACCUUGCUCGAGGGUUGGAGGGGGGACUGGAAUGCUUGGUGUAGCAGUGAAAUGCGUAGAUAUCAAGCGGAACACCAGUGGCGAAGGCGAGUCCCUGGACAACUCCUGACACUGAGGCACGGAAGCUAGGGGAGCAAACAGG
rnacentral:rRNA from 1 species